AUAGGGGUAGUUUUGUAAUUGCAACAUAUUUCAAGUUAUGCUGCAGCUGGUCUGUUAAUAAUAACAGCAUAUAACGUUUUUUGGUGAAAGUGUCAUGAGACGCAUAUACACACAGCAAAAGAAGGCCGGUCCCGUGCUUGUUGCCGCCCCCUCCUCAGGCUCGGGCACAUUUUCCCCUCCAUCAAAAUCGUCAUCUUCCUCUCUAAGAAACCCUAACUGAAUCUUUUUCUUCACCCACAUUACGUUGAGGUUCUGUUCUGUCAUUCACAUAUUCAUUCACUUCAUUCUUAUUGAAGAAUAUACCUUUGUUUGCUUGGUUGGCCACAAGGGAAGAAAAAAAAAAUCUUGUCGAUACGUUUGGGUUCUUGUGAGAGGACGGAAAGCAAGAAACUUGGCUCGUUUUAAGGUUUGUCAUAUGUCAAUUCUUUGUUCAUUAAUCUUCUCAAGUUUGUAUAAUCAUGUUUCUUCAUGUGUUUUGUUGAUUAUCGGAGAGAUAUAAGCUGUUUUUCAAGGCCAUGAUCAUGGAAAAAACAAUUUCUGAAUUCGAAAGAAAAAAAAAAGAAUAUAAAAAACAAAAACUGAUGGGCCUCUGUUCUUGAUCCUGAUUUGUUUAAAAGACCAUUAAUGUAUAACAAGAUAUUGUAUAACAUUGUAUGUUGUCCAUCAUCUACGGCGUAGCUGUUUCAUGUUCCCAUUGUCUUCAUCCUGUUAACUCAUGGCUUAAACAUGAUUAUCAUGCUCUCAAAUGUCAUAUUCAAGACUUUGCCAUCUAAGGCGGAGCUACAAUUUUGAAUUUAUUCUGAAUUCUAGAUAAGACGGCUUACUAGGUUCUGAAUAAAUUAUGUAUACAUAUUAAGUGAACUUCUUAACACAAAUACUUGAUUUGAGCCAAAGUUACUAGGUUCUACUGAAGUUGUAAGCCCGUACACUAGCUCCGCCCUGUCUGCCAUCCCCAUGUGACCCAAUAAGUUUAUUUUGUGAUUAUUUUUUUUCGGUUAUGAGGGGUUUUACAAAAACGCUCUACAUGUCUCGUAGCAUACUGUUCUGCGUAAGUCUAUAAAUUAUAACUUUGAUGCUUCUUCAAUUAGGUUUGAGGUAAAGUAUGCAUAUUUUGGUAUUUAAUUUGUAGAUAUUGGCGUUGCACUUGUACAGGCUGAUAGAGUACGGCCUGAUAGAGUCAAAAGGUGAUUGACAGACCUCGAAAGUGCGCCAUCAUUGCGGCUGGGAAAAAGGAGUGCCUAUAGGUUCUAGUUCUUCUGGUUGCCUUGAUAAUAAAGCAAAAGGUGCUGACUAUUGAGACUAUGAGUCCAAAAUUUGAUAUUUGUUGAAAUUUUACUAAUUUUUCACAUAUGUUUAUAUUCCGCGUUAAAAUUACUGGUUCAGUUGAACCCAGUGAAUAAGGCUGCAUCCGCCUCUACCUCUGCUGACUGGUAACUGGACUGAUGGCAUAUUUGUUAAACUUGAUUAUGAGUAGUAUUUGUCUUCAUUAUGAGAAAUACCAUAAUUGGCAAAGUUGUCACUCUUAUACAUACCUGUCUUCCCUGGUAAUAACAGGUUACAAGUAACAUUNNN
rnacentral:lncRNA from 1 species